UAGCUCAGUUGGUAGAGCAGUUGACUUUUAAUCAAUUGGUCGCAGGUUCGAAUCCUGCACGACCCACCAAUCUUUAACGGUGGUUUCUGGUAGAACGUGAAGGAUAACGUUGCGAUAGCAACGGCCCGUAGGGCGAGGCAAAGCCGAGUCAUCCUGCACGACCCACCA
rfam:Enterobacter aerogenes KCTC 2190, complete genome.